UACGGAGGGUGCAAGCGUUAUCCGGAUUCACUGGGUUUAAAGGGUGCGUAGGCGGGCAGGUAAGUCCGUGGUGAAAUCUCUGAGCUUAACUCAGAAACUGCCAUGGAUACUAUUUGUCUUGAAUAUUGUGGAGGUAAGCGGAAUAUGUCAUGUAGCGGUGAAAUGCUUAGAUAUGACAUAGAACACCAAUUGCGAAGGCAGCUUACUACUCAAUCAUUGACUCUGAGGCACGAAAGCGUGGGGAUCAAACAGG
rnacentral:rRNA from 1 species